GAUGAACGCUAGCUACAGGCUUAACACAUGCAAGUAGAGGGACCGGCGCACGGGUGCGUCACACGUAUCCAACCUGCCCUUUAUUCGGGGAUAGCCUUUCGAAAGCAAGUUUAAUACCCGAUAUAAUGCAUGGGGAUGCGUUCCAUUAGGUUGUUGGUGAGGUAACGGCCAACCAAGCCUUCGAUGGAUAGGGGUUCUAAGAGGAAGGUCGCCCACAGUGGAACUGAGACACGGUCCAAACUGCGACGGGAGACAGGAGUGAGGAAUAUUAGUAAAUGGGCGUGAGCCUGAACCAGCCAAGUAGCGUGAAGGAUGAAGGUUUAACGGACGUAAACUUCUUUUAUAGAAGAAUAGGUAUUAUAUGAAUAAGGAUCGGCUAACUCCGUGCCAGCAGCCGCGGUAAUUC
rnacentral:rRNA from 1 species